GAGGUCUCUCAAAAAAUAUCAAGAAAAAGAGUCUCUAUGUGCUUAAAAUCACCAAAACAAUUUUGCACUAACAAAAUCUCAGAAUGCCCUGUUCUGAACAAAUGAAUGUUUCUUCACUCCAAACACUCUCAAAUCAACUUUUGAAGCUUCUAACAAGUAUGUGAACUCUAAUAAACCUCACUAUCAAGUUCUCUAACUCAUAAAACUCACUUUUUCACCAC
rnacentral:lncRNA from 1 species